GAAUUAUCACAAGACAUAGUAUAACCUUUUAAUCUUUCCCAAGCUUCAUAGAGAGCUUCAUUUGGACCUUGCUUGAAGCUUGUAAUAUCGUUUCUAAUCC
rfam:Arabis alpina cultivar Pajares Aa.chr8_contig_2884, whole genome shotgun sequence.